rnacentral:rRNA from 1 species
AUUGAACGCUGGCGGCAGGCCUAACACAUGCAAGUCGAGCGAGAAAGCCCUUCGGGGUGAGUAGAGCGGCGGACGGGUGAGUAACGCGUAGGAAUCUACCUGGUAGUGGGGGACAACAUGUGGAAACGCAUGCUAAUACCGCAUACGCCCUAUGGGGGAAAGCGUGGGACCUUCGGGCCACGCGCUAUCAGAUGAGCCUGCGUAAGAUUAGCUAGUUGGUGGGGUAAAGGCCUACCAAGGCGACGAUCUUUAGCUGGUCUGAGAGGAUGAUCAGCCACACUGGAACUGAGACACGGUCCAGACUCCUACGGGAGGCAGCAGUGGGGAAUAUUGCGCAAUGGGGGAAACCCUGACGCAGCCAUGCCGCGUGUGUGAAGAAGGCCUUAGGGUUGUAAAGCACUUUCAGCGGGGAGGAAAAGCUUAGCGUU